CCGAGCUUUUCCCUUGGGUGGCCGUACCCACUGGGAACCAUGGAGUUGGUUCUCACCCCACGUGGUUUUGGGGUGUUUACAGGUACACACUUGAGCGGCGCGGCGGCGCGAGGCAAGGGCGUAGCUCCGUAGAUAGCGCCCUAUCCCAGAGACCGAGAUAGCAGUACCCGAGUCGGUGGUCUAACUUGGGAGGUUUAAAGACAAGAACAAACUUUGAUCAUGUUGUAAUAAAUUGUAAUAAUUUGUGAUUGUAUUCGGAAGUUUAAUGUAAAAGAAAAUUAUGGGCAAAAAUGUAUGUAAGUUUAAUGUUGUAAUAACUUAGUAGUAUUAUGUUUUUGAUACUUCCUUAUGCAAUCUAUGAAUGAAUACUGUUCCUGGUUGGAACCUCUUGUAUUGUGUUGAUUGCGACGCCUUGGACAUACAGGGGAGACUUUGUCCGUUCAGCGGUCUGUCGGCGGCGCCGUGACCCGGCCAAAAAGGCGGGAGGUCGCGGGUCGUGACAGAUAAGAUGGUAUCAGAGCAUAAAGUAGAAAAUCGGAAUGGUUUAGGCAGACCUAGGAGACCCUAGGAUAGUAAACCGUAGGAGAAUAAGGCUCGUGAGAGACGAGGACUUGUGAUUCGUGGCGAAAGGUUGACGGAUUGGGUUGUGUCGAAACCUGUAAAACAGAUAUUAGAGGUAGAUUCAAGGUAAUGUUUAUUCUCAACCGAGGGUGUU
rnacentral:lncRNA from 1 species